rnacentral:rRNA from 1 species
UACGAAGGGGGCUAGCGUUGCUCGGAAUCACUGGGCGUAAAGCGCACGUAGGCGGGUCUUUAAGUCAGGGGUGAAAUCCUGGAGCUCAACUCCAGAACUGCCUUUGAUACUGAGGAUCUCGAGUCCGGGAGAGGUGAGUGGAACUCCGAGUGUAGAGGUGAAAUUCGUAGAUAUUCGGAAGAACACCAGUGGCGAAGGCGACUCACUGGACACAUAUUGACGCUGAGGUGCGAAAGCGUGGGGAGCAAACAGG